CCUGCUCCUAAAGGCAUUGCAGAUGUGUCUGCUAUGCCACAUAUGUGUCAGUGGAUGACAGAGAGGAGAGAGGCUAUGUAUACGCUCAGUGUUCUGACCUGUGAACAUCUGAAUAAUUAGUAGCCUAACAUU